GUGCUCAAAAUAGAUCUUAAGCUCCUUGAAGGCAAGAACCCGGCUUUAAACUGCGUCCUGCACACGGCCUGCCGGAAAUAUCGGGGCUUUGCUCCUAUCCAAAGUGUUCCUCAGGGUGAUUUUUGAUGACCACGAUCCAGAAGUGCUGGCGUCUGAAUGCAUUUUCUUUUGCUUGGUCAAGAAGAGUCGUGAACUUCAAAGCCCCCGACAGGGAUUAUCAAUCCUGCUCUGCAGGAAAGGAAAACCCUCAAUCCCCGGCCACCCGCCACCCCUCUCCAGAGAUUCUGCAAUAGCCGAGGCGCUCAGAGUCGGAAGGGGACGCUUUGGGAAUGACCAUGCUCCACGGAGGGACAGAGCCGGCCCCCAGCCUCUCUACACAGAGCCUCCUCCACUAAAGCUCCAAAAAUCAAAAACAGUAAUUGCCAGAAGAAUCAUUAAAAAAAAAAAAUAGCCCAGCCACUAACC